CGUUAUAUGAAAACAGUAGCCUUAAUGUUCCUGGCGCGGUAUAUAAAAUUUUGUGUUGAAAGAAUUCCGUACUUAAGAUAAAUUAACAAUUAAAUCCGUUCCUGGAUAUUCAGGUAGAUUAAGAUUAUAUUCCUCUUCCAAUUUUUUAGGCACAAAACGUCCACCUAGGUGGUCCAGAUUCAACAUUCCAACCCGAUGGAAUAUCUACGCUACAAAUAGGAAUAGUUGCUUUUUCUAGCAGAUUAAUAAUUGGAAUAA